rnacentral:lncRNA from 1 species
AAUGACAGUCACUUGAUCCCAGGCAUUGCCACCUGGGGUAUCGUUGUCAUGGCAGACCCCAAAGGGAAGGCCUACCGCGUUGUUUGAAAGUACCACCAGUGAAUCUGUCUUCUGUCUCUGUCCCUUUCCCCGUGACGCACAGAGCAGGCAUGGAAUUUAAUGGGUGUUCUGGACAGACACUUGUACAUGGACAGACAUCACUACUGUGGAUACUACAAGACUGAAAAGAAAAUCGUAUGUUGUCAUUCUCUGGCUGUGGAGUGUUUGUGGCCUUCACAGAUUUCACAGGAACCAAUAAAUCCCUCAGAGAAGUAAACAGGUUCUUUGUCUUAUCUGGGGAAG